rnacentral:tRNA from 6 species
GGGGCCUUAGCUCAGCUGGGAGAGCGCUACAAUGGCAUUGUAGAGGUCACCGGUUCGAUCCCGGUAGGCUCCACCA